GACGUAGGUGGCGAACGUUAUCCGGAAUCAUUGGGCGUAAAGGGUGCGUAGAUGGCCUGAUAAGUUAGCAGUGGGAAAUCGAGGCUCAACCUCGUGGAAGCUGGUAAUACUGUUAGGCUCGAGUGCAGGAGAAGUUAACGGAACUCCAUGUGGAGCGGUAAAAUGUGUAGAUAUAUGGAAGAACAUCAAUAACGGCGAAGGCAGUUAACUAUUCUGUUACUGACGUUGAGGCACGAAAGCGUGGGGAGCAAACAGG
rnacentral:rRNA from 1 species